CUGCUGUAACCGCGCUGAUGUGCGACGGAGUCCGAGGUUGCAGUAGAGAGUUUGAGACGUCCAUCGCACCGGGUGACCUUCGACAAGUCAUUCGGCCCGAACACGGGAGAGAACGCUGAGCGUUACAAC
rfam:Corynebacterium phocae strain M408/89/1, complete genome.